rnacentral:tRNA from 3 species
CGGGGAGUAGCGCAGCCUGGCUAGCGCACAGCGUUCGGGACGCUGGGGUCGUGGGUUCAAAUCCCACCUCCCCGACCA